CUCAGCGACAAGUCCAACUACAAGCCAUCGCCACACUUUGUAAAUCUUGCUUAAAAAGAGAACCCCUAACUCGCGGCUAAGGGAGAGCCAACUAAAAGACUUCUUUUGGAAAUCCUGGAAAUGGUCUGGCUGUCGAUUAAGAGGUUGUUAAUCAUCACAUCACCUGCCCUAUUGUGGCCCUGAGCUACGCUUUUUGUUUGUUUUAUGUCUUGAACAUAAAAUACCCAAAGGAGAUGGGACUUAUACCCUGGAAUUCAUACAAGGGUCAGCUUGGACUUUUCGUGGAGGAGUUGGAUACGUUUCUGUCAUUCUUCCCCGAGGAUGGUACUCCGCUGGUGAAACUCGGAGACUUGAAGAUCCACCUUGAAAAACUGCAGGGAGCCGACUUCAACAACCUGACUACAUCAUUUGACCUCAAGCGAGUUCCCACAUCAGUAACU